rnacentral:rRNA from 1 species
UACGAAGGAUCCAAGCGUUGUCCGGAAUUACUGGGCGUAAAGCGUGCGUAGACGGUUAUUUAAGUCAGGUGUGAAAGCCCCGGGCUCAACCUGGGAAUUGCAUUUGAGACUGAAUAGCUAGGGUGCGGAAGAGGGAAGCGGAAUUUCUGGUGUAGCGGUGAAAUGCGUAGAUAUCGGAAGGAACACCAGUGGCGAAAGCGGCUUCCUGGUCCAGCACCGACGUUCAGGCACGAAAGCGUGGGGAGCAAACAGG